rnacentral:rRNA from 1 species
UACAGAGGGCUCAAGCGUUGUUCGGAUUCAUUGGGCGUAAAGGGUGCGUAGGCGGCGCGGUAAGUCGGGUGUGAAAUCUUGGAGCUUAACUCCGAAACUGCAUUCGAUACUGCCGUGCUUGAGGACUGGAGAGGAGACUGGAAUUUACGGUGUAGCGGUGAAAUGCGUAGAUAUCGUGAGGAAGACCAGUGGCGAAGGCGAUCCCCUGGGCCUGUACUGACGCUCAUGCGCGAAAGCGUGGGGAGCAAACAGG